CACCCCUUCCCUUCCCGAACAGGACCGUGAAACACCUCCGCGCCAAUGAUAGUCGGUUAACCUCCGGCGAAAGUAGGUCAGCACCAGAC
rnacentral:rRNA from 1 species